GGCUCCAUAGUGUAGUGGUUAGCACAUCUGCUUUACACACAGAAGGUCCUGGGUUUGCACCCCAGGUGGAACCA
rfam:Pteropus alecto contig90501, whole genome shotgun sequence.